GAUCCAUGGCUCAGAUUGAACGCUGGCGGCAUGCUUUACACAUGCAAGUCGGACGGCAGCACAGAGAAGCUUGCUUCUUGGGUGGCGAGUGGCGAACGGGUGAGUAACAUAUCGGAACGUACCGAGCAGUGGGGGAUAACUAAUCGAAAGAUUAGCUAAUACCGCAUAUUUUCUGAGGAAGAAAGCAGGGGACCAUUUGGCCUUGCGCUGUUUGAGCGGCCGAUAU
rnacentral:rRNA from 1 species